rnacentral:rRNA from 1 species
CGAUGAUAGGGGUGAAAUCCAGUGACCAUCUCAUGAUCAGCUGCUGCGAAGGCGGUUGUAUGUCAUGUCCCCUCUGAUAAAGGACUAAGGAUUGGCUCUCAAAGGCGAUCAGAUACCGCUGUAGUCCAAUCAGUAAAUGAUGCCAACUAGACCAAGGGCUUAGAUUCAUGCAGAUAAUUGGCUCUYGGUCUUAGAGAAAUCAAAGUGGAUGGGCUCCGGGGGGAGUAUGGUCGCAAGGCUGAAACUUAAAGGAAUUGACGGAAGGGCACCACAAGGUGUGGAGCCUGCGGCUUAAUUUGACUCAACGCGGGACAACUUACCAGGUCAGGACAUGAGAAGGAUUGACAGAUUAAUAGCUCUUUCAUGAUUUUAUGGGUGGUGGUGCAUGGCCGUUUUUAGUUCGUGGAGUGAUUCGUCAGGUUGAUUCCUUAAACGAGCGAGAUCUUUGUCUGUCAUUGGCCUAGCAGUCCUUGACUUGAACUAGCGAAAAGAUUUGGGCUGGCUAGUGCUCUAUAAGAGACGAUCACUGUCAAAGGUGAUGGAAGUGGAAGCCAAUAACAGGUCUGUGRUGCCCUYAGAUGUCCUGGGCCGCACGCGUGCUACACUGGCUGGCAUAGCGAGAACUUUAAGCCUAUGUCUGAGAGACGGGAGGGCGAACU